rnacentral:rRNA from 1 species
UACGUAGGUGGCGAGCGUUGUCCGGAAUUACUGGGUGUAAAGGAAGCGUAGGCGGGGGUUUAAGUUGGAUGUGAAAUGCCGCGGCUCAACCGCGGAGCUGAAUCCAAAACUGGAUCUCUUGAGUGAAGUAGAGGCAGGCGGAAUUCCUAGUGUAGCGGUGAAAUGCGUAGAUAUUAGGAGGAACACCAGUGGCGAAGGCGGCCUGCUGGGCUUUUACUGACGCUGAUGCUCGAAAGCGUGGGGAGCAAACAGG